rnacentral:rRNA from 1 species
GUAAGGGAAUCUUCCACAAUGGGCGCAAGCCUGAUGGAGCAACACCGCGUGAGUGAAGAAGGGUUUCGGCUCGUAAAGCUCUGUUGUUAAAGAAGAACACGUAUGAGAGUAACUGUUCAUACGUUGACGGUAUUUAACCAGAAAGUCACGGCUAACUACGUGCUAG